GACGAACGCUGGCGGCGUGCUUAACACAUGCAAGUCGAACGGAAAGGCCUUGCUUCUGUGGCGUGCUCGAGUGGCGAACGGAUGAGUAACACGUGAGUAACCUGCCCAUGACUGUGGGAUAACUCUAGGAAACUGGGGCUAAUGCCGGAUAGGAAGUAAUGCGGCCUGGUGGGGGUUGGCAACUUUUGGCGGUUGGGGAUGGGCACGCGGCUUAUCAGCUUGUUGUUGGGGUAGUGUCUUACCAAGGAUUUGACGGGUAGCCGGCCGGAGGGGGGGACCGGCAACAUUGGGACUGAGGUGCGGCCCAGACUACUACGGGAGGCAGCAGUGGGGGAUAAUGCACCAUAGGCGGAGGCCUGAUGCAGCAGCGCCGCGGGCGGGAUGACGGCCUUCGGGUUGUAGACCACUUUCGCCUGUGGCGAAGAGGGAGUGACGGUAAUUGGUAAAGAAGCACCGGCUAACUACGUG
rnacentral:rRNA from 1 species